GCUCUCUAGAAUUUUUUCAUCUUGCAAAACUGAAACUCCCACCCCAUUAAACAUCUCCCCUUUUCCCCCUCCUCCCAGACCCUGGCAACCUCCCUUCUAUGUGCUGCCUCUAAGAAUUUGACUAUUUUAGAUGCCACAUAAAGUCUUUCCCGCGGAUCUUUCCAGGCUGACUUCCGCCUGGAUACAAGGUGCAGGAAGGCCAACCGCGAAAGGAACAGGCCCAUUUCGUCUACGUUCUAGGCGUUUCUGCACUCUUCAGACGCCAAGCCUUAAGGCGUCUGGUCAGGGCCCUCGGACCCUGGGCCAGAGCUCUGCGAGGGCUGGACAGGUGAUCCCUGGACUGUGGCCUGGAGGGCACCGAUAGAUUGGUCUCUUCCUCACAGGAAGGUCUUUAACCACAUUUUCUUCGCACACGCUGGAGACCUUGGCACACGACAAGGUACCCUUUCUGAGAACGGAGGACUCCCCCAUUGAGUGCGCCUCUGCCCCUUGUCGCCGAGGGAGCGAACGAUUCCCGGGUUCAGGAGGGUCUGCACCUUGGGGCGGAGGGACGGACCCUCCGCCGAGGCCGGCGGCGCCCCAGCUUCCAGGUCGGACGCUACACCCCCUCCUCAGCCGCCGCCGGUCCCCGGGGGGCCCAGUGUUGAGGUAGGGGCGCUGACGCUGGGCCAGCCGAGCAGGGGGACGGCGGGGAAUAAC